CGCAGCCGCGGUAAUUCCAGCUCCAAUAGCGUAUAUUAAAGUUGUUGCAGUUAAAAAGCUCGUAGUUGAAUUUCGGGGUUAGUAGAUUGGUCAUGCCUUUGGUAUGUACUGGUCUUACUGGUUCCUCCUUCCUGAUGAACCGUAAUGCCAUUAAUUUGGUGUUGCGGGGAGACUGGACUGUUACUUUGAAAAAAUUAGAGUAGCUUAAAGCAGGCUAACGCUUGAAUACAUUAGCAUGGAAUAAUGAAAUAGGACGUUCGAUCUUAUUUUGUUGGUUUCUAGGAUUGACGUAAUGAUUAAUAGGGAUAGUUGGGGGCGAUUAGUAUUCAAUUGUCAGAGGUGAAAUUCUUGGAUUUAUUGAAGACUAACUACUGCGAAAGCAUUUGCCAAGGAUGUUUUCAUUAAUCAAGAACGAAAGUUAGGGGAUCGAAGACGAUCAGAUACCGUCGU
rnacentral:rRNA from 1 species